UUCUUCUCAGCCUCCUUCUCCACCUCCCGUUCCCCCCGACCCAGCUAACCUAAACCCUAACUCAUCUCCGAUCGAACCCACCUCUCUCAAUUCGCCGCCGCCGCUUCCACCUCCAUCCUCCAUAAAGGAUUUUGGGUUAGGGUUCCUGGACGGCUAUGACGAGUUUCCUCUCAUGAGCUUUCUUCGAUCCUGUUCAAGAGGGACUAUUUGAAGAUCUCAAAGCUGACAGGACAGAAGACGACCAGGUUAGGCUGUUCCGGCCUGACGAAAACGCUCUUAGUAUGCAAACAUGUGCUGAUAGGCUUUGUAUGACACCACCUUCUGUGGAGCAAUUCAUCGAAGCAGUUAAGCAAACUGUACGUGCCAUCAAGAAAUGGGUUCCUCCGGGUAAAGGAGUUUUGUAUACAAGGCCUCGGCUAAUAGGGAGUGGCGCUAUCCUUGGAGCAGCUCCAGCACCUGAGUACACGUUCCUCAUUUACGCAUCUCCCGUAGGAGAUUACCAUAAGGUAAGCACAGGCCUGAACUUUAAAGUUGAUCAUAAGUAUCGCCGAGCCCAUUCACUUGUUUUCAGAAGCGUGGAUGCUUAUUACUUUUGUUUCCAUGAGAUGCAGGUCACUUUAACACUUUUGUUGGAGAUCGGUCUGCUUAUGUGUUCAGUUAGAUUCUGAUUUUGCUUGUGUAUUGGAUUAGGUGAUCUGGUGAAGAUGCUUUUGAGACUGCAAAGAGUUGACGUUUCUUCUUCUCCUUAAUCUCAUUAGCUUUUGGUUUUAGUUCUUAUUCCUUCUCUCUGUUCUUGAGAGUUUAUUAAUUUUCUGAAUUUUUUUUUUUUGCAGAAAAGAAGAAUGAUUGCAAUAUUUUGACCACGUUUAAGCUAAACGAGAGACUUGAAUCAGUUUCAGUUACAUCUCAUCAUUACAGGUUUGAUUUCUUGGUCCUUUACAUGAAUAAUACUUUGUUUAACACUCUUAGGACGAUUAUUAUUUGCACAGUUCAUCAAAACAGGUUUUGGUUACAAUAAACUUUUCUCUAGAACAAUUGGAACGUGUUUUGGAUACAAGAUCAAAUCUGGUGGAGUUUUAUAUUGGACAAAAACAGAAGAGGGCAACAACUGCUGCAAAAACCGGUUGCAAGAUGAUCAGAUCUUUUUGAGUUACUGUGUGUGUUUGUUGCUUGAAACUGCAACUUAUGGCAUUGAUUCUCUCCCAGGCUAGGCAAGCUCUUCUCACUCAAAGAAUUGCUUCAGCACUUCAAGCAGCCAUGAUGUUAAGACCACGUUUUGUAAGACAUUUGGUAUGAUGUUUAAGACUUGAUGUUUUGUAAGACUUGUUUUUAAUAUGAUGUUUGUCCUUGUGAUGUUUUGUGUAAGACAUGUUUGGAUGUUUAAUAAAAAUAAGAGUGUUUUAAAUGCAAA